CUGAGCGGCGGACGGGUGAGUAACGCGUGGGGAACCUGCCCUAUACAGGGGGAUAACAGUUAGAAAUGACUGCUAAUACCGCAUAAGCGCACGGAGCCGCAUGGCCCUGAGUGAAAAACGAUAGUGGUAUAGGAGGGACCCGCGUCUGAUUAGGUAGUUGGUGGGGUAACGGCCCACCAAGCCGACGAUCAGUAGCCGACCUGAGAGGGUGACCGGCCACAUUGGGACUGAGACACGGCCCAAACUCCUACGGAAGGCAGCAG
rnacentral:rRNA from 1 species